GGAGCCGUAGCGAAAGCGAGUUUUAACUGAGCGUUCAGUUACUUGACGUAGACCCGAAACCGGGCGACCUACCCAUGAGCAGGAUGAAGCGAAAGUAAAAUUUCGUGGAGGUCCGAACCCACGAGCGUUGAAAAGCUCGGGGAUGACUUGUGGGUAGCGGUGAAAUUCCAAUCGAGCCCGGAGAUAGCUGGUUCUCCCCGAAAUAGCUUUAGGGCUAGCCUCAAGGUGAGAGAUACGGAGGUAGAGCACUGAAUGUCCUAGGGGGUAUUGCACCUACCGAAGACUAUCAAACUCCGAAUGCCGUCAUCUUAUACUUGGGAGUCAGACUGUGGGUGAUAAGAUUCAUAGUCGAAAGGGCAACAGCCCAGAUCGUCAGCUAAGGUCCCUAAAUGUAAGUUAAGUGGUAAAGGAUGUGGGAUUGCACAGACAACCAGGAUGUUGGCUUAGAAGCAGCCACUCAUUCAAAGAGUGCGUAAUAGCUCACUGGUCGAGUGAUCCUGCGCCGAAGAUUUCCGGGGCUAAAACUUACUACCGAAGCUACGGCAUCAGUAAUGAUGGGUAGGGGAGCUUCCCAUACGGGUUGAAGCAUGACCGUAAGGACAUGUGGACAGUAUGGGAGUGAGAAUGUUGGCAUGAGUAGCGAGAUGUGGGUGAGAAUCCCACAGGCCGUAAACCCAAGGUUUCCAGGGGAAGGUUCGUCCGCCCUGGGUUAGUCGGGACCUAAGCUGAGGCCGAAAGGCGUAGGUGAUGGACAACAGGUUGAUAUUCCUGUACUACCGAUAACCGUUUGAGAGAAGGGAUGACACAGUAGGAUAAGCUAAGCACACUGUUGGUUAUGUGUGCCCAAGCAUUGAGGCAGUCAAAGUAGGCAAAUCCGCUUUGAUAAUGCUGGGAUGUGAUGGGGAGCGAAAUUUAGUAGCGAAGUAGCUGAUUUCACACUGUCAAGAAAAGUCUCUAUCGAGGUUAAAGGUACCCGUACCGCAAACCGACACAGGUGGGUGAGGAGAGUAUCCUAAGGCCAGCGAGAGAACUGUUGUUAAGGAACUCGGCAAAAUGACCCCGUAACUUAGGGAUAAGGGGUGCCACCAUCAGGUGGCCGCAGAGAAUAGGCCCAAGCGACUGUUUACCAAAAACAUAGGUUUCUGCUAAGUCGCAAGACGAUGUAUAGGAGCUGACGCCUGCCCGGUGCUGGAAGGUUAAGGGGAUCUGUUAGAGCAAUCGAAGCAGUGAACUUAAGCCCCAGUAAACGGCGGCCGUAACUAUAACGGUCCUAAGGUAGCGAAAUUCCUUGUCGGGUAAGUUCCGACCCGCACGAAAGGCGUAACGAUUUGGGCACUGUCUCAACAACAGACUCGGUGAAAUUGUAAUUCCGGUGAAGAUGCCGGAUACCUGCGACAGGACGGAAAGACCCCAUGGAGCUUUACUGUAGCUUGACAUUGGGUCUUGGUACUACAUGUACAGGAUAGGUGGGAGGCUUUGAAACCAGGACGCCAGUUUUGGCGGAGCCAUCCUUGGGAUACCACCCUUGUAGUACUGGGACUCUAACCAUAGGCCAUGAAUCUGGUCUUGGGACACUGUCAGGUGGGCAGUUUGACUGGGGCGGUCGCCUCCCAAAAGG
rnacentral:rRNA from 1 species